UGGCUAAUUGGAGGCAUGGACAAUCUCCAAACUCAGACCUCUGACAGAUGCAGCCCUCUGACCAGUCUAAAGCUGGGUCCUCCCAGCUCAGGGAUGCUGUCCUCACAGGAAUGCCUAAUGGGGCUUCCUGCCUGCCCAUCCCAACCCCUGGGGCCACACAUUGCUUAUUUUGGAUUACACCGGGCAGCCUGUGCCCCGGGCAGAGGGAAGGAGAGCUUGGGCAGGACUGGGGAGUGUGACUCAUUUCUGUCUACCCAGCCAAGCACCAAAGGCAAUGCUGGCAAGUGGGAGAUGGUCCACAGCCACUCACCAGCAGCCAGAAGCCAGGCUCAGGACAGCCAGGCCUCAGCUUACACAGAGGCCAGCAAGCCUGCUGUGGCGGCUGUCCACCUAAUAG
rnacentral:lncRNA from 1 species